rnacentral:rRNA from 1 species
CCCUUAGAGUUUGAUCCUGGCUCAGAUUGAACGCUGGCGGAAUGCUUUACACAUGCAAGUCGAACGGCAGCACGGGAGCUUGCUCCUGGUGGCGAGUGGCGAACGGGUGAGUAAUACAUCGGAACGUACCCAGUUAUGGGGGAUAACUAACCGAAAGGUUAGCUAAUACCGCAUACGCCCUGAGGGGGAAAGCGGGGGACCGUAAGGCCUCGCGUAAUUGGAGCGGCCGAUGUCUGAUUAGCUAGUUGGUGAGGUAAAGGCUCACCAAGGCGACGAUCAGUAGCAGGUCUGAGAGGAUGAUCUGCCACACUGGAACUGAGACACGGUCCAGACUCCUACGGGAGGCAGCAGUGGGGAAUUUUGGACAAUGGGGGAAACCCUGAUCCAGCCAUUCCGCGUGAGUGAAGAAGGCCUUCGGGUUGUAAAGCUCUUUCGGCAGGGAAGAAACGCUCCGAGUUAAUAACUCGGGGUAAUGACGGUACCUGAAGAAGAAGCACCGGCUAACUACGUGCCAGCAGCCGCGGUAAUACAUAGGGUGCGAGCGUUAAUCGGAAUUACUGGGCGUAAAGCGUGCGCAGGCGGUUUUGUAAGACAGGUGUGAAAUCCCCGGGCUUAACCUGGGAACUGCGCUUGUGACUGCAAGACUCGAGUACGGCAGAGGGGGGGUAGAAUUCCACGUGUAGCAGUGAAAUGCGUAGAGAUGUGGAGGAAUACCGAUGGCGAAGGCAGCCCCCUGGGUCGAUACUGACGCUCAUGCACGAAAGCGUGGGGAGCAA